CCGAGCUAAGCAGAAUGAACAGAGAGAAAAAGAUUUAACCAACAGCAACAACAAAUUAAUAAAGUGCCAUGAAACUGCUUUUCCUGCCAAGAUAAGCAGCACUCUCUUAGGAAGAUUUCCUGUCAACUACCUUUCACAAGCACAGGCCCCAAAAUGGAUAAAAGGUUCGUGAUGGACAUUCAUUUGAAAAGUAGCUAGUGUGCUGCUUUAAUAACUAUUUGUCAUCACAAAUGCUUACUGACAUUCUUAAGACAUUUGCUAAAAAAGAAAAUGUUAUGGAUCUUAUGAAUCAGAAUAAUACACUGAGUAAUACUGAUAACAAAAUCUAUUAUAGCAUCAUAAAAUCACAAGAAAAAUGUAUCUUGGAAUGCCAUUGCUCUCAGUGAAAGCAGAUAAUCAGUUAAGAAAACAAACUUUAAAAAUGUGGAUCAUGUGUGUAAUUUGAGAAUACUCCUUGAGCUUGAGUUCUCUCCAGAUGGAAAGUUUGGCUACAUUGUCAGAAAAAAACCAACAAGAGGCAAUGCUAUGAGGAUCAUGGAACCACUAACGUGGAUUUCUUCUCAUCUUGACAAUUUUACUCUCUCUCUCUCCCUCUCUCUGCCCAGGAUGAAAAGUGGUAUGUUAAGAAGACAUAUUCCAAGGAGAGAAGAGGAGACAAUAUUUGUCGUUGCACUGCGGCCCAGGGCAGCUGCAGUCCCCCCAACACCAGGGCAGGAAAGGCCCCUCAUCAGCAGCUGGCUCAGGUCUAAGAGUGUCUGGACCACAGGACAGACUAUGCUCCCCAGAAGAGUUCCUUUCUGACCUUGGAAUCACCCUCACUUUUCCAAACUUGAUUUGCUCAUCCCGGGUAUUGACCUCUAUUGAUUUAAUUCACCAGUCACUCUCUACGGCCAAAGAAGGCCGCUCCUGUCUUUGAACAAACUAGGUAAGUUUUCCAUAACCUGAGUGUUGACAAAGGAAAAGCCAAAAGUCAACUGUACCUCCGCAGCCUUCAUCGGGUGGAGUUCAUCCCCAUGGAAGUUAAUCUGUAACCCUAUAUCUUUUCCACCUUGAAGAAUCCUUCUGGUAGAAUCCAGGUCAAAGACACCCUUCUCACAGAACACAUCUAUAUUGUCAACGUGAAUCUGCCCAUUUCUGCCAAGUUCCUUCAGCUUUGGGAGGUGGUUAUUGAUGAUGUCAUCAGCAGCUUCAGUAGCAGUUUUUCCUCUGAGGGAAGAAAAGAACAUUUCCAUGGGCAAAUAUAUUUUUUAACUGGAAGAAGGGUUUCUUGGUGCUUGGAGACCUGAGAAACUGUAGGUAAAUAACCUCAAGCCUCAGAAAAGUACAGAAAGAAUCAAAGCUAUUAACAAUUGUGACAUGCCUACGCAGCAGAGGUAUUGAUAAAGACUUCUAUAUGCUCUGACCCUAUUCACAGAGACUCAAAUGGCUCAUCCAUUCUGGCACACCGGUGUUGCCUUUGGGAAUGCCGGCAAGGUCAUCUGGCUGAAAAAGCAGAAUCUACUUUACAAGGGCACCUAGAGGGCAUCCUGAAGGCGUCCCUGCCAACCCAACUGCAGGCCUCUUACCUGGGCCCCAGCUAUCACCCUGUCUUUUUCUUCCUCUACACUAUUUCUAGAAGCAUCUGCCUAAGGCUUCCUGUCUCACCAUUUGGGGACAUGGAAGAAGAGGCUAGUAGAAGGCCCCAAAAUUCUCAAUGAGAUUCUGGGGUAGUUAUAUAUUAGGAAGGGCUGGGCUUUUGAAGUCAAAUACACACAGAGCUCUACCACUUGCUAGCUGCUUAACUCUUUGGACACGUGAUUUAGCUGUCCUUUGGCAUACUCUGAGUCUCAGGCUUUAUCACUGGGCACCAAGACGCAGACCUCAGAGGCUCAUUGGCAGAUGGAGAAACCUCUAAAACUUUAGUCCCAUAAUUGGCACAUAGAAGCCUCUCAUUCAGUGAAAACCAUUCAGGUGGGUAGAUAGAGGAGAUGGGCACUUACAUAUAAUUCUCAAGAUAAUUGUAUAAAAUAGGGUGUUAUGUAGCUAUUUUAUAGAUUAGUAAUUCAUGUUCAAAAAGUUAGAAGAUGCCUCAAAAUCACCCAACUGGAAGUAGUUAAGCUGGAUUCAGACCCAGGUCUGCUACCACUCCAAAGUUUGAGUCUUUUCUACCAUGUUACACUGUCCUUUUACCAAAAAAAAAAAAAACCCACAAAAAACAGGCCA